UGCCCCUGGGCAGUCUUAAAGCAAAACUUCAACUGUGAUUGGUAGAUGUAAAAUGAGGGGAAGGCACAGGAAGUGAUGCAAAAGAAAGUUUCUUUAAAGGGAGUUACAACUUUCUGAGUGAGUUCUACUUGGAUUUCUACUUGGAAUGGAGGCUGAAGAAGAAUCUGCUGACUGGACCUGAGACCCUAUUCCUGGUGAGGUUGUUCUAAAUCUCUUCCUUUGGACUGACACGUGUGGAUCGUGGCCAGAUAUGAAGAGGAAAUGGAUCUCAUUUUUGGACAAGAUAUACAAAAGAGCCAUUGCACAGGACCAAAGAAAUGAAUCCAUGAAGGAAUGAUGCACUUCUAAGCCAAUACAAAGGACUUUAAUCUAGUGUGAAGACUCAAGGUUGUGAUGCUUAACAUAUGUUAAGAUGUAGGCCUUCCUUAUAUCCACACUCUUUGUGAAAAUACUUACAGCUGAGUAUCCCUAACUUGGCUCCUACCUGGCUCCUAUAAUAUAGUCCCUUUUCUGUCUUUCAUAGUGUGGUAAACUUUCUGUAGU
rnacentral:lncRNA from 1 species